AGGGUGGGGCCGACUCGUGGCUCCAGGCAGCAGGGUGAGGGCAGUUCACUGGCAGCGGGACAACGGCCAGGACCCCAGCCCUAGGUCAGCAGGCCUGGGAGGCCCCCAUGCGUAACGGGCCGGGUUGGGGAACCGCCUGAGUCUCUUCCUGGGCCUCGUUUUCCUGCCUCACUAGCACCAGGCCCACAGCCACACAAUGGGGAAAACGGACUCCACGUGCCUCCAAGGUGAACACCCUGGUCUCAGGAGCAGAGACCUAGCGGCGUCCCAGGGAGAGUGGAGAGACAGCGAGAGAAAUGUUCUGGCUGGUCCAGAGGGCGAAACAGCAGAGACUGUUCUGUAAGAGGCGUGUGAACCGGAGCAACUCCAUCUUGAUGAGGAGCUGGGCAAGACGAGGCUGAGACCUACUGGGCUGCAUCCCCAGGUGGUUAAGGCGUUCUAAGGCACAGGAUGACACAAGAGGUUGGCAAUAGCCACAGGUCACAAAGACCUUGCUGAUAAAACAGUUUGGAGUAAGGAAGCCGGACAAAUUCCUCCAAAACCAAGAUGGUGACGAGAGUGACCUCUGGCUGUCCUCAGUGCUACACUCCCACCAGUUCCCUGACAGUUCACAAAUGCCAUGGCAACGUCAGGAGGUUACUCUACACGGUCUAAAAGAGGAGGCAAGAAUUAUCUGCCCCUUGUUUAGCGUAUCAUCAAGAAAUAGCCGAAAAAAUGAGCAGCCAGCAGCUCUCGGGGCCCCUCUGUCUACGGAGUAGCCAAUCUUUAUUACUUCACUUUCCUAAUAAACUUGCUUUCCCUUUAGGGACUCGCCCUGAUUUCUUUCUCACACGAGAUCCAGGAACCCUCUCUCGGGUCUGGAUCGGGACCCCUUUCUUGUAACAUCUUUCUGGCGACCACAGAAGAAAAACCCCAGACCCAAAGGCUAACUUUGGGUAGGCGGUGGGGCCCAGUGACGUAUUUCUGGCGACCACAGGAGGGGCCACGGUGCGGAAACCCAAGACCUAGAGGCUAACUUUGGGUAAGGGGUGGGGUCCGGGCACAUCUUUCUGUCGAGCCCUGAAGGGACAACACUGAGGAGGAGCCCCCAACCCAAAGGAAACAGACUCAGCCCUGAUCGGACGACUCUGGGACGGCCGUCUUGCCCAGAGAACGCGUGUUGAAACUCCUGGCUGGAGGUUGGAUUAACGAUGACGGGGGCAAGUUUGAGCCUUGCCAGUGUGAUACUGGGUGCCAAGCAGAGUGGCUGCUGUCUACGUUUUCUCACACGGAGUUUGCUCUGGCCAGAACGGAAGGAGCAACUUUCCUUUGUGUUGCGGCUUGGCCCGCAGGGCUGUGGUGCCGCCAGUUGUAAGGGAGGAGACCACCCCUCAUAUUGUCUUAUGCCCAAUUUCUGCCUCCAAAGAAAGAAGUAAAAACUAAAAGGCAGAAAUGAAAUCCACAGGCAGACAGCCCGGCGUCACACCCUGGGCCUGGUAGUUACAGAUCGAUCCCUGAUCUAAUCGGUUCUGUUAUCUAUAGAUUCCAGGCAUUGUGUAGAAAAGCACCGUGAAAAUCCCUGUCGUGUUCUGUUCCGUUCUGAUUACCGGUGCGUGCAGCCCCCAGUCACGUACCCCUACUCACUGUCGAUCCGCGGCCCUCUCCGCACCCCUUAGAGUUGUGAGCCUUUAAAAGGGACAGGAAUUGCCCACUCGGGGAGCUCAGUUGUUGGAGACGUGAGUCUUGCCGAAGCUCCCGGCCGAAUAAAGCCCUUCCUUCUGU
ensembl:lncRNA